rnacentral:rRNA from 1 species
GUGAGGAAUAUUGCGCAAUGGGGGCAACCCUGACGCAGCAACGCCGCGUGGGCGAAGAAGGCCUUCGGGUUGUAAAGCCCUGUCGGGUGGGAAGAAACCUCUGCGGGUGAAUAGUUCGCAGAGCUGACGGUACCACCGGAGGAAGCACCGGCUAACUCCGUGCCAGCAGCCGCGGUAAGACGGAGGGUGCAAGCGUUGUUCGGAAUUACUGGGCGUAAAGGGCGUGUAGGCGGCCCGACAAGUCGAGCGUGAAAGCCCGAGGCUUAACUUCGGAAGUGCGCUCGAAACUGUCAGGCUUGAGUACGGGAGAGGGAAGUGGAAUUCCUGGUGUAGAGGUGAAAUUCGUAGAUAUCAGGAGGAACACCGGUGGCGAAGGCGGCUUCCUGGACCGAUACUGACGCUGAUACGCGAAAGCGUGGGGAGCAAACAGGAUUAGAAACCCUUGUAGUCC